UGAAACAACGCACUUAAGCACAGAAAAGCAGAGACUACCUCUCGUACCUUUUGCAUCAUGAUCUAGCCAGUAAACCCAAGCAAAGAGAACUCUAGUUUGAACCCCCGAAACCAGACGAGCUACUCCGGGACAGCCUAUAGUAGGGCCAACCCGUCUCUGUGGCAAAAGAGUGGGAAGAUCCCCGAGUAGAGGUGAAAGACCUACCGAGUCCGGUUAUAGCUGGUUGCUCAAGAAAUGAAUACAAGUUCAGCCCCGAUACGCCCCCCGCCACAACAGUUUUACUAAGACUAGGCAAAGGGACACUAACGGAAGUUAGUUGAAGGAGGUACAGCUCCCUCAACAAAGGACACAACCUUCAACAGGAGGCUAAAGAAUAAAUUAAAACGAGGCCACAGGUUUCAGUGGGCCUAAAAGCAGCCAUCUGAACAGAAAGCGUUAAAGCUCGGACCAGAACGAGCCUAUUAUAAUAUUAUAACCUCUAAUGCCCCUAUUACUACUGAGCCAUCCUAUGCCCACAUAGGAGGGACCAUGCUAGAACGAGUAACAAGAAGAAUGAACUUCUCCCCGCACAAGUGUAAGUUGGAUCGGACCCCCCACCAACAAUUAACGAACCCAAUAAUAGAGGAGCCUACACCCCCGCCACCCUAGGCCAAGAAGACCACGUAUUACCAUAUCGUUAACCCCACACAGGAGUGCUAGACAAGGGAAAGACUAAAAGGAUGAAAAGGAACUCGGCAAACCGAAACCCCGCCUGUUUACCAAAAACACCGCCUCCUGCCCACACCACAUAGGAGGUCCCGCCUGCCCAGUGACCAAAAGUUUAACGGCCGCGGUAUUUUAACCGUGCAAAGGUAGCGCAAUCAAUUGUCUUUUAAAUGAAGACCUGUAUGAAUGGCAUAACGAGGGUUUAACUGUCUCUUUCUCCCUGGUCAGUGAAACUGAUCUACCCGUGCAGAAGCGGGUAUGAAUAUACAAGACGAGAAGACCCUAUGGAGCUUUAGACGCCCCACAAUCACGAAAAGCAGGUCUCGCUCAACGGACCCCCAAACAACGUGAUACUGGCACAAACGUCUUCGGUUGGGGCGACCGCGGGAGAGAAAAAAGCUCCCGAGAGGAUUGGGGCUACCCUAAAACCAAGAGCUACACCUCUAAGUCACAAAACAUUUGACCAAAAAUGAUCCGGCUACAUGCCGAUUAACGAACCAAGUUACCCUAGGGAUAACAGCGCAAUCCCUUCCCAGAGUCCAUAUCGACGAAGGGGUUUACGACCUCGAUGUUGGAUCAGGACAUCCUAAUGGUGCAGCCGCUAUUAA
rnacentral:rRNA from 1 species